rnacentral:rRNA from 1 species
UACGUAGGGUGCGAGCGUUGUCCGGAUUUAUUGGGCGUAAAGAGCUCGUAGGCGGUUUGUUGCGUCGGCUGUGAAAACCCGGGGCUCAACUCCGGGCCUGCAGCCGAUACGGGCAGACUAGAGUUCGGCAGGGGAGACUGGAAUUCCGCGUGUAGCAGUGAAAUGCGUAGAGAUGCGGAGGAACACCGAUGGCGAAGGCAGCCCCCUGGGCCAACACUGACGCUCAGGCACGAAAGCGUGGGGAGCAAACAGG